GCCCUUCCUACGGGAGGCAGCAGUGGGGAAUAUUGGACAAUGGGCGAAAGCCUGAUCCAGCAAUGCCGCGUGAGUGAUGAAGGCCCUAGGGUUGUAAAGCUCUUUUACCCGGGAAGAUAAUGACUGCACCGGGAGAAUAAGCCCCGGCUAACUCCGUGCCAGCAGCCGCGGUAAUAAGGGC
rnacentral:rRNA from 1 species